UAUUACCUAGGGCUGUUUAUUCAUUUAUUGAAACAGAAAAUAAAAGGUCUGCUGUCCAAAACAAAACAAAAUGCAAAUAGUUUGAUCUAACUAAAAUUAGAAAGUGAAGGUCAGGUAAGUCGGUGGUUGGGUCGGCCUUGUGUCGAUGUUGCCGAUGUUGUCGCCGGUUGAGCUUCCGUCCCUUCGAUUGCUUCCAUCUUUCUCUUGCUAGGGACUCAGGGGCCUGCAUCUCGCGAUGCAGGCAACGAUAUACAGGUUGACGACUCAGCUAUUUAGGAGUGCACAUAUCAGCUACUGGUGAGCCCCAAAUUCCUUCGGGGCAUUGUCAGUUAUCCAGUUAUUCCAGUUUAUAGACAGCUCUAUUAUUCAGUACUCUUAGAGGCUUCAUAGACACAGUUCAGACAGUCAUAUAUUUGUUAUGUUAUCCUUGUAGAUAGUUAUACUCAGUCGUUCAGUUGUUUUGGUUUAGCCAUGUUGGCUACUUUCAGAUAUGUUCAGAUUGUCUAAGUAUUCCGCAUUAUGAUAUUUCAGUCAGACUUUUAGUUAA